UUUGAUUACUGUUUGAUUUCCCACAUGUA
rnacentral:piRNA from 1 species